rnacentral:rRNA from 1 species
CAACUUGAGAGUUUGAUCCUGGCUCAGAACGAACGCUGGCGGCAGGCCUAACACAUGCAAGUCGAACGCCCCGCAAGGGGAGUGGCAGACGGGUGAGUAACACGUGGGAACCU